AAACACCAUCUCAGAGGUGCGACUGAUGUGAGGAGAGAGGAAUAGAGCACUCAUGUACUGUAUUGGCUCUGCUUCAGUGUAUAAGUGUGUGUGUGUGUGUGUGUGUGUGUGUGUGUGUGUGUCUGUGUGUGUGUGUACAGCAUGAGUCACCCUACCCGCCUGUGAUUGGAUGGUAGUUUACGGGUGAGGGAGGGGAGGGAGAGAGAGAGCCUCAGGGGCCGUCUGUCAAUCUCUCCCCCACUCCAUUCACAUAUUCAUCUGCAUGCAGCGUCACAGAGAGACAGGGGAAGUGAGCUAGAGCCUCUCAUUCAUAAAAAAAAAGGAGAGAGAGCGAGCGAGAGAAAGUUCAUUCAUAAAAAAAAUCUGCACAGUUCUGCUGCGCGUCAGAAAGUUGAUGUGGAGGUGAAGCAGCAGUGGAAGCCUGCAGACUGACGGAGAGUGUGUGUGUGCGUGUCGGGAGGAUGGGACUGCACUCAGCGUGAGUACAGCGGAGCAGACUGGACUUCAGACUGCACAGGACAACGCAACGGUGAGUCGAAUCUACCGUAACGUGCUCUUGGAAUCUAAUCUAAUAAUCUGAGGACACAGCACACAAGGUGCACAGAAGAUCCCCCAAAUUUCAGCUGAAAAAAUUCAAAACUUUAUCCUUUUUUUCUGCUCCAAUCUCUAAUCUGAUCUGCCUUAUCUGUGUGUAAUAACCGAUUUUCAUUUUCGUGGCAGGUUUUUUUCCUUUUUACUUUGUCCCAGUGCUCUCCUCUGUCCAGUUCCCAGAUUAUGAGAGAGCAAACCUUACCCAGGUUCAAAUCACAGACAGGACUCUUACCAGGUAGCUCAUCAGUUGUCUGGUCAUUACACAUGCCUGUGUGGAUGAAAAUCACUGUGCUGCAUCUCAUUCCAACACGUCUUUCGUUAUCUACAGGCAUGCUGAAGCGCAGCAAAUACAGCCGUCUGCGCAACGAUUCCCUGACGUCCCUGGAGGAUCGGCCCCUGAAGAGGGACCUUUGCUUGGACUCUGAUUUCGCCCAGCUGGAUCCAGGGGCGCCUACUCACCAUGGGCCAUCCACCCUGAGGGACUUCAUCCCCCGCAUGGCCAACAUCCGAUUGCAAAGUCCAGUUUCCCUGCGGGCCCUGAGGGGACAGACAGCUGGACCCACUGACAGACCCUUGUCCACGAACGAGUGGGGCUCAGGGCCCGAUCAGAGAUUUUGUAGCCAACCUUCCCUCAAUGUCCCCCUAUCGACCAGACCCUCGGCUCUGAGCUGCACAAAAAGACCCAUCACCCUGCACCGGAUGGCUAGCCUCCCCAGCUGUCCUACCUGCUCGCAACACAGAGACGGUUUGUGCUGUUUGAAGACUUCCUCUGCAGCGAACAGAACGGUCCACCAUCACAUCAAGUACAUGGGCAGUGUUGAGGUGACCCAGUCCAUGAGAACUCUCGACUUUGACACGAGAAUGCAAGUCACACGGUAG
rnacentral:lncRNA from 1 species